rnacentral:rRNA from 1 species
GACGAACGCUGGCGGCGUGCUUAACACAUGCAAGUCGAACGCGCCUGUCCUCUGGGUUUCUGGGGGGUGGGUGAGUGGCGAACGGGUGAGAAACACGCGAGUAACCUGCCCCCUUCUUCGGGAUAACGGUCUGAAAGGGCUCCUAAUACCGGGUAUUCACUGGCCUCCGCAUGGGGUCUGGUGGCAAGGUUUUUUCCUGGUGGGGGAUGGGUGUGCGGCCUAUCAGCUUGUUGGUGGGGUGAUGGCCCACCAAGGCUUUGACGGGUAGCCAGCCUGAGAGGGUGACCGGUCACAUUGGGACGGAGAUACGGCCCAGACUCCGACGGGGGGCAGCAGUGGGGAAUAUUGGAGCAUGGGCGCAAGACUGAUGCAGCGACGCCGCGGGAGGGAUGGAGGCCUUAGGGUUGUGAACCUCUUUCGCCCGUGGUCAAGCCGCGACGUGGGUCGUGGUGAGGGUAGUGGGUAAAGAAGCGCCGGCUAACUACGUG